rnacentral:rRNA from 1 species
AUUGAACGCUGGCGGAAUGCUUUACACAUGCAAGUCGAACGGCAGCACGGACUUCGGUCUGGUGGCGAGUGGCGAACGGGUGAGUAAUACAUCGGAACGUGCCCAGUCGUGGGGGAUAACGUAGCGAAAGCUACGCUAAUACCGCAUACGAUCUAAGGAUGAAAGCGGGGGAUCGCAAGACCUCGCGCGAUUGGAGCGGCCGAUGGCAGAUUAGGUAGUUGGUAGGGUAAAGGCCUACCAAGCCGACGAUCUGUAGCUGGUCUGAGAGGACGACCAGCCACACUGGGACUGAGACACGGCCCAGACUCCUACGGGAGGCAGCAGUGGGGAAUUUUGGACAAUGGACGCAAGUCUGAUCCAGCCAUUCCGCGUGCAGGAUGAAGGCCCUCGGGUUGUAAACUGCUUUUGUACAGAACGAAAAGGCUCUGGUUAAUACCUGGAGCUCAUGACGGUACUGUAAGAAUAAGCACCGGCCAACUACGUGCCAGCCGCCGCGGUAA